AGUGAACGCUGGCGGUAGGCCUAACACAUGCAAGUCGAACGGCAGCACAGUAAGAGCUUGCUCUUACGGGUGGCGAGUGGCGGACGGGUGAGGAAUACAUCGGAAUCUACUUUUUCGUGGGGGAUAACGUAGGGAAACUUACGCUAAUACCGCAUACGACCUACGGGUGAAAGCAGGGGAUCUUCGGACCUUGCGCGAUUGAAUGAGCCGAUGUCGGAUUAGCUAGUUGGCGGGGUAAAGGCCCACCAAGGCGACGAUCCGUAGCUGGUCUGAGAGGAUGAUCAGCCACACUGGAACUGAGACACGGUCCAGACUCCUACGGGAGGCAGCAGUGGGGAAUAUUGGACAAAGGGCGCAAGCCUGAUCCAGCCAUACCGCGUGGGUGAAGAAGGCCUUCGGGUCGUAAAGCCCUUUUGUUGGGAAAGAAAAGCAGCAGGUUAAUACCCCGCUGUUCCGACGGUACCCAAAGAAUAAGCACCGGCUAACUUCGUG
rnacentral:rRNA from 1 species